rnacentral:lncRNA from 1 species
AUUUUAUCGUAGAUCAUAAGGAACUACGUACAUACAUUUUUGACGAAAAUUGGUAAGUCAAAAUUUGGUGCAGAUCAUAAGAAACUACACACUUUUUAAAGAAUUUAGUAAGGUCUAAAUUUCAUUGCAAAAUCUUUGCAAUGGAUUAAUUUGAAACAACUUCUCACUCUCUCUAUUUCAAACCCUAAGUUCAUGAGAAAUAAAUGUUUCCAUCUUUUACAAUUUUAACAUGUAGAAUAGUCCAACUUCUUCUUAAAGCUUUUCUAAUCUAGCGAAGCACUUCCACAAAAUCAUUUAAAUAUGUUUGAAAACAAUUUCUUAAUAUCAGGAAGAGCUUUUGACCUUUAAAAAGUCAUAUCGAAUGUGUCCGUUAUUAUGAACACUCUUCCUAAAAUCAUUUACAAACCCUAAGCUUCUCACACUACUCAAAUGACAAAAUGAUAGAAGUUAGCAUGUUGAACACACUAAUAAAUAAAAAAUUAUAAUAAGAAACACUUGCAUGUUGAAUACACUAAUAAAUAAAAAUCAUUUAGCUAAAAAAUUAAUACAAAAUCUAAGUCAAAGUCUAGCAAUUAAUUUUAAC